AAAACGCCCUUAGACUUCCCCUAGAAACAAGGAGCUGGUAUCAGGCGCAAAAAUCUGCCCAAGACACCUAGCUAUGCCACACCCACAAGGGACUUCAGCAGUGAUUAAUAUUGAGCAUAAGCGACAGCUUGACUCAGUUAAAGUAAAAAGAGCCGGCAAAUCUGGUGCCAGCCGCCGCGGUUACACCACGUGACUCAAAUUGAUCCUUUUCGGCGUAAAGCGUGAUUAAAGUUAUUCACAAUUGGAGUUAAACCAUAAUUAAGCUGUAACACGCUUGUAUGUGAGAAGACCAAAAACGAAAGUUACUCCAAUUAGUUCGACUUGAACUCACGACAGCUGGGGAACAAACUGGGAUUAGAUACCCCACUAUGCCCAGCCGUAAACCUUUAAUUACACCCACCUCGCCUGGGAACUACGAGCCAAGCUUAAAACCCAAAGGACUUGACGGUACCCCACAUCCACCUAGAGGAGCCUGUCCUAUAAUCGAUACUCCCCGUUUAACCUCACCAUCUUUAGUUUAUCAGCCUGUAUACCUCCGUCGUCAGCUUACCGCGUGAGUGAUAUAAGUGAGCUUAAUGCCCAUACGCCAACACGUCAGGUCAAGGUGCAGCAAAUGAGAUGGGAAGAGAUGGGCUACACUCUCUAAUUUAGAGCAUACGAAAGACUAUCUAUGAAACCCUAGUCGGAAGGCGGAUUUAAAAGUAAAAAGAGACCAACAAGCUCUUUUUAACCCGGCACUGGGGUGUGUACACACCGCCCGUCACCCUCUUCAAGGCCCACAAAUAGUUCUUAACUAACCCCCAUUGCCGCAGAGAAG
rnacentral:rRNA from 1 species